CACGUAGGGUGCGAGCGUUGUCCGGAAUUAUUGGGCGUAAAGAGCUCGUAGGCGGUUUGUUGCGUCGGCUGUGAAAUCCCGAGGCUCAACCUCGGGUCUGCAGUCGAUACGAGCAAACUAGAGUGUUGCAGGGGAGACUGGAAUUCCUGGUGUAGCGGUGAAAUGCGCAGAUAUCAGGAGGAACACCGGUGGCGAAGGCGGGUCUCUGGGCAACAACUGACGCUGAGGAGCGAAAGCCAGGGGAGCAAACGGG
rnacentral:rRNA from 1 species